UAGUCCUCAUCUAAAUCACAAGAAUAAACAGUCUGCUUAAACUAAUACCACACCAACAAUUAUGUUUUCAUAUUUGUGUCGAAAAUAACAGGGUAAGGAGGAAAAGAUAAGUGAACUCUUGGAUUUAAUAACUGGUCUCGCCUCCUUUGGCAACAACUCGCCCAAAAAUUUGUUGCAGACCAGAUAUGCACAACCAUCAGGAUGAAUUUUGGACCAUUCUUCUUUAUAAGAAAUCUUGUACUCAUGCAAGAUUCCUGGGAUGUCUGCUGUGGGUAACACUCUUGAAGUUAUGCCGCAGCAUCUCAAUCGGGUGCGGGUCAGGACUUUGACUGGACCGCUCAAAAACAUGUCUUUUCUCCUUAUGAAGCCAUUCUGUUGUUGAUUUGUAUUGGAUCAUUCUUCUGAUGCAAUAUCUAUCCUCUUUUGAGCUUCAACUGUUGGCCAGAUGGCCUCGAGUUCUUAGUUCUUGUGAUAAACUUGAUAUUUUUAUUUCAUUGAUGAUAAUGAGCUGUCCAGGCCAUGAGGCAGCAAGCGCACAAAUACCAUGAUGCUUCCUCUACCGCGCUACACAAUUGGGAUAGGGUUGUGAGGUUAUUGUGCUAUGUCAUUUUUUUUCUCCACACAUGACAUUGUGUGUUCCUCACAAUCAAUUCAAGUUUGUUUUCAUUUUGUCCACCGAAUAUUAGGGCAGUGGAACAUCCCAGUGCUCUUUAGCAAACUUCAAAUGUGCAACAAUGUUAUGUUUUUUUUUUGUUUGUUUUUUUUUUUUGUAAAUCAACGGCUUCUUCCUUGGUGUUCUCCCAUGAACUCCAUUCUUGUUUAAUGUUUUACAUAUGGAAGAUUUCUCAACAGAGGUGUUGACAUGUGCCAUUGAUUUCUGUAAGACUUCAGUUGACACUCUGGGGUUCUUUCUGAUCUCAUUGAGCAUUCUGCACUGUGCUCUCGCACAUUUACAGGAGAACGACUCCUUGGAAGAGAAGCAACACUGCAGAAGAUAUAUAUAUAUAUAUAUAUAUAUUUUUUUUAAACACAACUCACCCAAGUUCAUCAAUUACACCCGUAGCAACAUGCUUAACAACUAAAAUGCUUUUGUUCAGCAAUCUCUGGCGAGUGACACAAUUCAAAGAAUCUCGAGUGAGCCAUUGUACUGCAGUAACGUUAUAAAAAUUGGGAAAAUAUACUGACUGUUGUUUUCUCAAGUAAAAACAGAUGUUUUCAAAUGACUUGUUUGGGUUCAACACAAAGAUGUUUCUGCUUUUGUAGAAGACGACACAAAUCAGAAAAUAUUUACUCAUGAGGCUGAAAUUUGAAUGAGUUUGUUUAUUGAACAAAUUAACAGAUAACACAUUUGGGAGGAAGUAAAAGGGAAUUAAAAAAAACUUGUAAGAAGAAAAACAUAAAUGGUCAUAAUUUAGCAAAGUUUGGAAGUAUGGAAGUAAAAAAAAAUGUAUCUAGUGGCACCCCUUGUUCUUUGUGUAUUUUAACUUGUUUGAUAUUAAUAUAAUGCAUGCAGUAUAUCGCAAAAUGAAAAAAGGAAAUAUAUUGAGCUACUCAAGUAUACAACUGCACUUACACUUAUGCGUACUGUACAUACCUGUAUGCCUACAACAUACAGUAUGUACAGGCACUAAGUAAACACACACUGUGACAAAUGUUGGCCAUUUUAUCAAAAUACAUUAAUUGUCAUUUAAUUUGUUUGGUUUGUUUGACUCAUAGUAUUUGGGGCACUGCUUAAUGUGCUUUUAUUUAAUUUUUUUGAUCAUUAAGCUAACAAUUUGAAAAUCUGGAGUGCCUAGCAAAAAUGUUGACCUUGAAACGGUAUUUAUUGAUCCAUAGUUUUUAGGAAAGCUGCUGGACCGGCUGGAUAAUUUACAAUGAACAUUGUCUUUUUCCUUCAAACGACUGCUACUUUAAAAACAGACGGGACAGCAUUAGGUACAAUAACACACAGACAUACUCGACUGUAUAUGCUUAUUGGAAACAGCUGACGACUUCCUUUGUUCUUGCUCUUUUCUGCCAUUCAUUUCCAGACUGUCCUUGACUCGAGUAUAUG